UUCUUUGUAGAAAAUCCGGUGUUAAAGAUGGAAAAAGGAACAGGAUGAACCCAGGAAAAAUACCCCCUCCGAACAGCUGGUCAUAAACCUUUUGGGGCUAAUAGUGACUUCCUGUGACCUGGCAGUGAAAUCCCAGGUUUUUUCUCAUACAAAUUCCAACACGUGCAAAGAUCAGUUUGCUUUGGAUUUAACAGCCCCUGCGUUGACCAGAGCCUGAACCAGCUGCUUUGAAGAGAUCUUGGGACUGAGGUGAGGCAUUUCUAAGGCAGCUGAUAACAGAGGAAAGAGCAGAUCAUGGUACCAAAUCCUGACCCAGAGCUGAGCAGGGCUCAAGGAGUGUGGAGAAACAGAUGGAGCUCUGCAAACUAUCAGCAUGCUGGAUUUUAUGGCACAUUUCUAGAGCUGAGGGACAACUGUCUGGGAAUUUCCAGCAUGCAGGUGGUAAAAUACUGACUGCCAUGAACUUCAUCAGGAAAAAAAAAGUAUAAAAGAGGAAAAAAGCAGUGGUUUGGAAGCAGCUGGAUGGCAAACUGCAGGCUGGGAAUGUGUCUGCCAAAACCACCACAAGGAGAGUGGGGCAUAAAGGCAUUUGUGGAGCAUUCUGUUUGCUAAUUGCUCAUGGAAUUUCAGGUUGAAAGAGAAGAAUGGAAUCUACCAGGUGGCUGCAUUUUGAAAAACAGCAUGGCAGGCUCUGCUCAGACUGCUUUGGAGCUCUACCCUCUCUCCUCCUCUGUGGUGUCUCAGGUGAAGAGGAGGCUUUGACAUGGGCACAGGGGGCCACUCUGAAGGUACUUUUCUAGCAAUGAACUUCAUCCAAAGACACUGAAGGUAGGUUAUAUUUCCAACAACAGGUACAGAGAAAGUGGCAGGAACAUGGAACUUCCUCUGAUACCUGCUCUGCUACAACUAAAGCUUGAAUAAAGCCAUUUCCAGCUGGAUUUUCCCCAAGAUGUUAAUAUUGUGCUGGGUUUAAUGCUGACUGAAGCAAGGUAGCAAGCAGUUAUUGCAGGCCUGACAUGCCUGUUCUGCCAGGGAACAGCGUGAGCUUUCAACUCAGAAAACAAGGUGAACUUUGUUGGGUCAUCAAUCUGCUUUUGCCUGCCUUGGCCAGGCCUUGUCCUCCUGGCCCAUUUUGCAGCAGUCCUAUGUAUGGGAGAAGUACAACUGUGGGGCGCCUGAUGAAAAGAGAUAGUUGAACAACUGGCCUUCAUCUCUGUCACCUUUUUUUGGUGCUGGCACAAAAAAAACCACACACACACAAAAAAAAAAACCAAACAAACAAAAAACCAAAACAAACAAACAAACAAACAAAAACACCAAAAAAAAAAGACAAAAUAUCCAAGGCAAAGAUAGUUUAUGUACAGCUCAGGAAGCUCACAGCAAUGAGUGUGUCUGUGAUUUAAUAACACAUCUACCCAAAAUGACACUUCUUCUAAUACUCACUGAGAAAAAGAAAGCAGAGCAGCACACAAGGCACUGCUAUUGCAGCAACAAGCAGCCAAACUAGCAGGUAUUUAUUUUUCAAUAUACACAAUUACUGGGGGAGAAUAAAAAUUAUUCUUUGACACUCUGACAGAGCUGUAAAAAGCCCUGUGCUUCCCCUACUCCCAUGGUCCUGACAAGAAACACCUCACAAAUUCUAAUAAAUAGAGAAUAGAAAUAAAUACUUUAACUACACAGCAUCAGGUUUCAAAUGGCUUCCUGAAUCAGAAAGUGCAGCUAGUCCAUUUUCCUUAUUUCCACACUCAGUAAUGGUGGCUCUCCAAAAGUCAAAGUGAGAUGGAUACUACAAGGAUCACAGACACUACACUGGGAAACCAAGUAUCAGUGGGUACGUCCAGAUUUAUGGUAGGUGAUGGCAGUAAAGUGAAAGUAAAACUGUUUGCACAGUCUGUAUUGUUGGCCAUUACUGUGUAUUUGCCCUUUUUUCUUGCUUAGCUGCAGCUGGAAGAAUGGAAAAUUGUACCUUCUAUACAGUAUUAGAAGACACUUUCUGAUCGUAAGGUCAAUCAGACUGGUUUAGCUGCUUGAGGUAUUUAUGGCACCAUCACUCAGUGUCUUUAAGGAAAGGUUAGAUACAUUUACGGGAAAGGUAUUUUGCAGAAGCUUUCCUGCUUCAUAGAGGUCUUGGACAAAAUGACCCAGGAGGCCCCUUCCAAGUCUAUCAAGUGUGGUUCCCUGAUUGAUGCUGUUUUCCCCCAAAGUCUUUUCAAAACACAAAGCACUGUUAUAAAAUUUAAUAUGAUACACUAUAUAACUUUAACACAAUGCCAUUUUCUUAAAGGAAAUGGUUAGCUGGUAGUACAGGAGCCUCGCACAAGAGGAAAAAAGGUAAGAAAAAAAGAAAUUGCAGUGCAGUUUCUCUGCUGAGGGAUAUCGACUAUAACAUUUACUCUGUGUCUGAGCAUGGACUCUUAGCUGUGCAGGGGGACACCAAGCCAGGAAAGGAUAUAAGGAACCCAGGCUGUGGAAUUUAUUUCUCCAGAAAAGCCUGACAAGGCCUGAGGUAAUUUUCUAUGCUGUGCAAUAAUCAUUUCCCUCAAUGCUGGGAAGCAAAUGGACACCCAGCUCUCCUUGUAAAUCACUGCCUGGUGCUGUAUCAGCUGGGCCCGGGGCAGAGCUGCCUGGGGACCAGGAGAGUCCCAGCCCUCCUGCACAGGCACAGGCACAGGGCCGGUGCUCAGGUGUGUCCUGCACCACCUGCACCAGCAAGAAGAGCCCGUCUGUAACUCACGGCUCUGGCCUGGCCUGCUGCUAUCCCAGCUGCGCCAUGGAGCAGGCGGAGCAAAUCCCUGAAAAUGGCGAGCGACAAAAACUGCACUUCAGAAAAAGGGCAGCAGCACCCCUGGUAACGUGUUUGUCUGAUGACUAAAGACUGAGCAAGAGAGCUUGGGCCACAUUUCCCUUGUCUGAAUACAAGAUUGAUUGUCAGGCAGAAUCCUCUCCAGGUCUUCUGUGUUUCCGCCAAACCAUUCAGUAAAACUAUAAUAUUCUUCUCCCUACUAUACUUACCUGUUUUGCUUUGGUUUGUUUUAAUUUGCUGAAUGUUUCCUAUAUUGACUUUUAUUUUUCCUUUGAAACAGUUAACAUUUAAAAAUUAAAGUAAUGUAAUUAUUUAAAAAAAAACAACCAACAAGAAAAACCCAACCAGAUCCUCUGGACCAUCUGGUUGAAAUGCUCUGGUCAGCCUCCACUGCUCUCUAGUCAGUUUUAAUUUUAGAUUUUCAUAGGGAAAAAAAGAAGGAAAAAACCCCAGAAUUUUAUUGAAUUGGAGUUUACUCUCAAAAUCAUUUUAUACUAGCCUUUUUAUUUUCACUCCAACUAAUUUAGUUAAAGGCCAAACUCUUCUUCCAAAAAUCAGCUCCCAGCCUCCAUCUUCUUGGGAUAGCCUUAACAGGAAAUCUCAACAUCCAUAUACAGCCUUUUGAAGUCUCACAAAUGUGAGCUGUUCCCUUUUGCAGAGCAGGCUGGGAUUAACUCUUUUAUUAACCUUAUAACCUCAUCCAUGAGAAAAAAAUAAUAGCCAAUCCCUUUUAUUUUAUUUAUUUUAAAAUCUGGAUGCAUGCUACCUUCUCUACCCAAACAUUUGUGAGCUCACUCUACAGAGAGGAGCAAAAAAAGCCCAUGGAAAGCCCCCUCUCCCUGUGGAGCUCCCCAAAGACCCUCUUGCCCCUCCCAUUAUGUUGCACUCAGUGUCAAAGUUUGUGUUUUCACUGGAAGAUAUUUUUGCUUUACAGGAGGGCUGUGUCUCUCUGUAUUGGUGGGAGCAAAUAACAACCUUUUGGUCCUUUUCAACACAUUACAUCAAUGCAUUUUCCUGAUUCCCAUGACAAAAAAGCAUCUUUUAGCAGAAUGAAAAAUCUGACCUGGGUGUAAUCCUGACAGCGCUCCAAUUGCUCAUCCUUAGCUUCAUCCCUGCACUGCAGUGCAGAGUAAGAGGCUCACACUGGAAUAGCUCUUCUCACCAGAGUCAAAAUGGUAAAAAUUUGCUCAGAAAGUGACACGAGCAGGAAUUUCAAAGGAAAAUUUAUCUCCUGCUCUUUGUCUUACACUAUGGUGCACUGUGGUGGCUGGAAGAUUUAACUUCCAAGCAUCCCAUCUAUAUAAAUCCUACUGGAAAACAACUAUUUUUUAGGGUGUUUAGCUCAGCAGCUGGAAUCUGCCAGGGAAUGAUUGCCAAGAUAAGGAUGGAGAAAAACUUUUCUGUAGCCUUCAGGUGUUGGUUGAGGGUCAGGAUUAGGGAAUAGCCAAAGCUGAGAGCUUUGGCUCUCAGAGCUCUGUGUGUUGCACAAGGUCAUGGCUCACUGGUGUAAGGACCAGGGGUUUGGGCCAGUCCUGCCUCUGCCCUGCUCAGCUCAGCCCAUUAACUCCUCUGGUGAUACAGCUCCUCUUGGGCUUUCUGCUUUUCAAAGAUUUACACUUGGUUUAAAUCUCAAUCAAAAGCUCCACUUGAUAUUUUGGGAGGCCAAGACACUUAAAAAUCUCCAAUGAGAAGGGCAAGUGAGGAAGGCAGAAUAUCUCUCCCUUGCAAAGGCAUUCAAAUACCACUUGGAUGAGGAGUUUCCAUCUCCUUUGCUGGAUAAACAGACACAUCACAGUUCUAAUGUGCAGGAGUGCCCUUCACACCAACAGGCAGAGAAAAGAUGCAGUGGGAAGAGUAAGAGGCACCAGAAUAAAAAAAAAGGCAGGAUCCAACUGAAUUUUUACCUUUGAUCUUUGAAAAUGGGAAAACCCAUUCGGGAUCAGGAAUUUCCAGACUGGGCUGUAUGCACCAUUAAUUGUUCCAUGAAGCAGAGCUGGUCUGCUAUUGUUGCAUCUUCCAAAAACAGCUGUUACUAUGAGCUCUAUGGGAUUCAGGAACUCCACUUCCCAGUUUUCACUUAGUACUUCAGUGAUCAUAUAUAAAUAAUAGUAAUGAUAAUCAUAACAAUACCGGGCUUGCCAUUAUGUUGUACUCAGUCUUUGUGAUGCUCUCUCACAAUAAAAUCUGUGUAUUAAACACUUUAACUGAAACUCUUAAUAAAACAGUGAUAUUUUUACUUGUGCUGUUAUAUUCACAUAAUGACCACAAAGCACUUUACGGAAUCAAAUGGAAGUAGCCAGUCUGAUCCUUCUAUAGAGGAUUUUGUGCAUCUCAGCAGUGCGUAACAAAGCUGCUGUAUAGACAAGUAACUGUCAAACAUACCACGUUUUGGGGUUUGUCCUGGCUGAGCAGCAUCCAAAAGCCUGGGGUUUGUCCUUCAGAUUGGUGUGAAAGUCUGUAAAGCCACCACAAAUUACACAACAAGAGGGACUGGAUGGUGUCACCGACUAGACAAGAACAAGCUGUGAUGUCUCAUUAUCAAGGUCCCUGGGUCAGAAAGAAGAAAAAAAAGGUUAUAAUUUUCCUGGUUUAGGAAAAAAGCCAUGGAAGUCUUGGAGCUGAGUACUGAGCAGCCUCCAUGGGGUCACUGCAAGGGGACAAGGCAAAGGCUGGCCCUGCAAAUGCUCAUGGUAAAUGGUGCCUUCCAAGGUUUGAGAGGGUCUCCAGCUUCGAGCCUAGUACCAGGUACUUCUGGAGCUGUGAGACAGUGAAGGGCUUUGUUCCCUCGUGUAUAAUUGAUAAAUUACCAUUGUGAGUACUAAACAAUACAACUGAGCACAGAAUGGAAACACGCUAAUGCUUUAUCCAGCUCCAGCAAUUCUGCUCGUGUGCUCACACUGUUCUUAAAUGUGCUGUUUGAUGAAACAAUAAGUUUUAGAAAAGAGAAAAAUAAGAACUUCAAAGAUAAUAAAAACCUUGACUACAUACUUUACCACAGGAA